GAUGAACGCUAGCGAUAGGCCUAACACAUGCAAGUCGAGGGGCAUCACAUGAAGUAGCAAUACGGAUGGUGGCGACCGGCGCACGGGUGAGUAACACGUAUGCAACCUGCCUUCAACAAGGGCAUAACCCGUUGAAAGACGGACUAAUUCCCUAUAACACAGGGGUCCCGCAUGGGAAUAUUUGUUAAAGAUUAAUCGGUUGAAGAUGGGCAUGCGUUCCAUUAGCUUGUUGGCGGGGUAACGGCCCACCAAGGCAACGAUGGAUAGGGGAACUGAGAGGUUUAUCCCCCACACUGGUACUGAGACACGGACCAGACUCCUACGGGAGGCAGCAGUGAGGAAUAUUGGUCAAUGGACGCAAGUCUGAACCAGCCACGUCGCGUGAAGGAAGACGGCCCUACGGGUUGUAAACUUCUUUUGUAAGGGAAUAAAGUGGGCCACGUGUGGCUUUUUUGCAUGUACCUUACGAAUAAGGAUCGGCUAACUCCGUGCCAGCAG
rnacentral:rRNA from 1 species